rnacentral:rRNA from 1 species
GAUGAACGCUGGCGGCGUGCCUAAUACAUGCAAGUCGAGCGAACAGACGAUGAGCUUGCUCCUCUGACGUUAGCGGCGGACGGGUGAGUAACACGUGGAUAACCUACCUAUAAGACUGGGAUAACUUCGGGAAACCGGAGCUAAUACCGGAUAAUAUAUUGAACCGCAUGGUUCAAUAGUGAAAGACGGUUUUGCGGUCACUUAUCGAUGGAUACGCGCCGCAUUAGCUAGUUGGUAAGGUAACGGCUUACCAAGGCAACGAUGCGUAGCCGACCUGAGAGGGUGAUCGGCCACACUGGAACUGAGACACGGUCCAGGCUCCUACGGGAGGCAGCAGUAGGGAAUCUUACGCAAUGGGCGAAAGCUUGACGGAGCGACGCCGCGUGAGUGAUGAAGGUCUUCCGAUCGUAAAACUCUGUUAUUAGGGAAGAACAAAUGUGUAAGUAACUAUGCACGUCUUGACGGUACCUAAUCAGAAAGCCACGGCUAACUACGUG